UCCAGGUUACUCUCACAUCACAAACAAAGCUUCACACCACCAGACACGGCUAAAGAAAAAGCUCUUAGCACAGCAACACUUACAACAAAAAAAGGACAUUAUUAACUCAGAGUUGAAGUCUUCUGUUCCAAAAUCAUUACUCCGAGUCGUUUCUCUUCUCCAAGGCAUGGCUCUAUUAAGGAACUAUCAGGAAGACAAAAGCUUCACGCGAGCCUUCCCUCCCACACGAAGGCUACCAACACGCUGCUGGGCACUAUUCUGAAGGCAGUCCAUGAAGUUCUGUACCAUUCUUGAUUAGAAUUCAUGAAAAAAAAAAUUAGCUAAAUUAAACUUCCAACUAACAAAGAUCUUUUUACUGAUAAUAAAAUGAAAAUAUAAGGCCUUGCCCUUUCCUACGACUGCGCUCCAUGAGGCACCAGCCGUUCUACUGGCGCAGCUGCGCCCUGCAGCCAGCCACAACCAGCCGGGACCGGUUGGAACCGGCCGCAGCCUCCUCACAGAGGCACUGGCACCACCACCUCACACAGACACCCAGCGCAGGGCAGAGCACGGAGCCUACCAUUCCUUCCAGCCCCAGAUUAACAGUGGCAUUCUGUCCCUCAGAACAGUCAAUAUCUCCCGCAGAGGUUCGCACCGCUCCUGUGGAGGCCGUGCGCCUGUGUACCUGCCCUGCCCUGCCCUCCAUGUGCGGAGGUUUUCUAUGUAUACCAAGGGCUGAAGUUGUAAGGGCCAUCCACCGCUGUUCUCUGCACUUCAGCAUUGCUCAGACACGCAAGGAGGCUGUGAAAGGAGAUAAAAAACCUUUCAAAGAUGAACAUCAAGCUUGCUGUUCCUGUGCUGCAACGGUUAUCAGAUCUCACAGAACACCCUGCAAUACAAAAACAACAAUCUGGGUAUUCAUUCUUGAAACAAAUUCAACCAGUGCUUUUUAAGGAAGCGGCCAUGCCACAUGCUAAGGUUCAGUGCAAUGGGAAACCUUACGCAGAAGGCAGGAAGGAGCCAGCACUUCAAAGGAAAACAGGAAACCCCCACUCAUCUUGAUUUGCAGAAGAACAUGACUCCACCAAAUAAAUAUUAUGAAUUUAAAGAAAUAAUUCUAUCAAUAAAAAGUGAGACUUCCUUUAACUCAAGUGCUAUUCUGAAAAACUCCUUUGGACCAGCUCUACAUACUUCACACUACAGAACACACAUUGUAGGAGUACGAUUUACAGAAUUUGGGAGAUUGUGCCGUAGUGAAUGCAACUGACCGUGUUUUCUGAGAGUAUGAACAAUAUCUCAUAAAACAUACACCAGUGGUUCAAAUGUUCAAAUCAACUUCCGAGACCUUUCCAGAACAUCAUCCUCCAUCUCAGAACAAAAAGCUUAUUCUGGCCUCAUCCAUUCUUCCAAAAUUUUAUCAAAUGAGUUUUUUUCUACCUCAUGGUUUUGCUACAACCUUGCCUUCAGUAAAUUGGUUUUAGGGAACAACUGCUCAAGUGCUUCAGUUUUACCUCUCCGGAAAGCACAUCACUCACUUGUUCCUCAGAAGUCUCAGAUCUGGGGAAGGGAGUAAUUCCUCAUCUUGUUGUGAAGGUUUUAAAUACAUAAAUAUAUAAAACUAGAUAUUUCCACCUAUGUUUAUCAAAACAGUUUCAAAAAGAUUUGCUUUUUCUUUUUUUUUUUCCUGCAGCUUCAGUUAUAGAAGAAUUUUCAUUACAGCUAUUUAGAGUAACAGAAAUAAUCAAGAGCACUAUGCAAAUGAUCCAUGCACUAAUGAACCUAUAAGAACAUACUGACAUAAUACAGGAUAAGAGAUUUAGUGGAAAGUCUACCAUGUCCCAAAAUCAAGCUCACUGAUGUUCAGUGAGAUUAUAUCUCUCAAGGACUUUUGUUAUUCUCAAAGUGUAACAGCUUAAUCAGAUUUUCAAAUUUGAACAACACACUGAACUCUUCCAUAUCUGAAGGAGCCUGAUGAUAGUUGUAAAGAUGAAAUAGGACUUCAUUUAAAAUUUAAGUAAAUUGCUUACAGGUAGUUCUUAAAAAUGAAAUAAAAUGCCUCUCUCUGUGAAAAACUUCUAAAUCCAUUUCAAACACUUUUAUAUGUGGUUUUCUUUAACCAUUCAUGUGAAGAUAAAGAACUUGCCACCAAUAUAGAAGGAAAAGACUAUUCUCAGCCACACAACAAACUGAAAGUUUGAAGAACUGUGUUUUAGCUUCUCCAUAGAACACUGACAGAUAUUUUGCUUAUUCCUUAAGCUUUCAGAUCAUUUGUUCUCUCCUAAGACUAAAUCUAACACUGUA